AUUGAACGCUGGCGGAAUGCUUACACAUGCAAGUCGAACGGCAGCACGGACUUCGGUCUGGUGGCGAGUGGCGAACGGGUGAGUAACAUAUCGGAACGUAUCCAAUAAUGGGGGAUAACUAAUCGAAAGGUUGGCUAAUACCGCAUACGCCCUACGGGGGAAAGCUAGGGACCUUCGGGCCUGGCGUUAAUGGAGCGGCCGAUAUCUGAUUAGCUAGUUGGUGGGGUAAAAGCCCACCAAGGCGACGAUCAGUAGCUGGUCUGAGAGGACGACCAGCCACACUGGAACAGAGACACGGUCCAGACUCCUACGGGAGGCAGCAGUGGGGAAUCUUGGACAAUGGGCGCAAGCCUGAUCCAGCCAUUCCGCGUGAGUGAAGAGGGCCUUCGGGUUGUAAAGCUCUUUCGCAAGGGAAGAAAACUUAUCCUCUAACAUAGGAUGAGGUUGACGGUACCUUGAUAAGAAGCACCGGCUAACUACGUGCCAGCCGCCGCCGUAACAC
rnacentral:rRNA from 1 species